UACGGGGGGGGCAAGCGUUGUUCAGAAUUACUGGGCGUAAAGGGCGCGUAGGCGGUUUGCUAAGUUGGAUGUGAAAACUCUGGGCUUAACCCAGAGCCUGCAUCCAAAACUGGCAAACUUGAGUACUGGAGGGGAAAGCGGAAUUCCUGGUGUAGCGGUGAAAUGCGCAGAUAUCAGGAGGAACACCAAUUGCGAAGGCAGCUCGCUGGGACGUUACUGACGCUGAGACGCGAAAGCGUGGGGAGCAAACAGG
rnacentral:rRNA from 1 species